UUUUGUUUAUCAACCCAUAAUACUAUGAAAAGUUAAUUUAUACAAAAACCUUAAACAUUUAACAUGAAGAUGAAACUUAAAAAAAACAAACAAAAAAAAAAAAAACGGGUGAAUCUUAAAAAACCUGUCCAGAUUAUAUCCAUCUCAUAUUUCACACUAAAAUAAAAAAAGAGAUAGGAAAUUAUAUUUUGCUUAAAAAAUAAAGCCCAUUUUAAGGGUCAUUUUUAAUAUUAAGCACAUUUUCACCCCCAAAUUUAUUUACUGUUUUGAAAGUAAAGAGAAAAGGGUAGUAUUUAAAUUUAGUGUUACCACUGAAGAAUAAAAAAUAAAAAUAAAAAAAAUAACAGGUUAUUAAUAGAUGUGUUAUUAAAGAAUGCUUCCUAAUUAGAAAUAUGGGGGGAAAGUGCAAAAAUGAAAAUAAUAAUAAAAAAAUGACAAGUAAUGGCCCUUCAAUUAUUGGUUCAUUUUAUUUAUGCAAAAUAAAAAUAAGAAUUCUUUAAUUUUGGACUGAAAUAUGACUUGGACGUGUUCUUGACGAGUUUUGCACUAGUGACAAUAUUUUCCCAAUAUCUAAAACAAGUGUAAUUUUUUUUAUUUUUAUGAAUAGAGGAUUAGUCUAAUUCAUGUUGCUUUGUUUUAAAGAGGCACCUGACUUUGACCGAAUAUGACAUUCAUAAGAACUUAUGGGUGAGAAUACAGUACACACAUGCUUCAUCUAACACUACCUGUCUGUUUAAAGUUCACUUAAAAAUUAUAGGAUUAACAGAGAAAUUAUUUUAUCCACAAUUUAAGAAUAUUCAGAAUAGUGUUACUAUUGACGCGAUGUUAUGAUGCUACCUAAAUUGUACACAAAAUAAUGCAGUCAUUUAUUUAUUUGUAAUUUGUGUCAUUUUUCUGCAGGUGUAGAGGAACUGCAUGGAAAGCUGGAUGAGGAGCGGUUCUUGCAGGACAUUGAGUCCGCUGCCUGUGAUUUUCUAAAUUUAACCAGGGUCAUCUCAGUGUUUGACUGCUCAGCAGAAUUGUGCUAGGUGCCAUUUUGGAUGAAGAUCUGAUGGGUGUGUGUGCUGUAUCCAGAGCAUCUGUAUGUGAGGGUGCUGUGCUGCAGUGUGCUGUGCAUUACAGACGGAGAAAUUAUCAUAUACACACAGCCACACAGCUCCAGAGACAAACUGCGGCUUGAUGCUCACACACACUGCCAUCAGUAUAACAACACUUAUUAUAGCCUCUUUAGCAGCUACUGUAACUGCGAUGUAAACAGUAAUUAAUAAAUUAAUGUUUCUUUUCUCUAGAUCUGCAGCAGUCUGAGAACUCCAUAGCGCUGCAUGUUUCUGAGAGCUCUUUCACUUGAAAUGGACAGGCACAGAACAUAUCGCAGACUGGUGAACCAACUUCCACCUGUUAAUCGUGCAACACUGGCAGCUCUUUGUGGACACCUACACACGUAUGACACCAAAGUCUUAAAUAUCACAGUACAACAUUUAAAUUUGAGCGAUCUUGAUCAAGUUUAUCAAGUUGGAUUUCACUACUAAACGUUAUGAGAUCAUCGUUAGAUCGUACUUUCAGUUAUUUUUUGUGGUGCCAAAAGAUCCCGGAAGUGCCACAGCCGAGCGUUUGUUUGUAAACAGUGUAAAUUCAUCUAUAUGGAAUAAAUAUCAAACCACAACCCAUCCUUGCCGUUUAGAGUUAAACCUGACGGCGAUGACUGGUCAAAUGACAUGUAUAACUUGAAAGCUCUAACUAAAAUUUUAGUCACUCACAUUAUCUUGUAGAACUGGAAAGAAUCCAGAUUACUUAACCAUAUCAGAUGGCUCAGAAAAGUUAUGCUUCAUCUAAAGCUGGAAACAAGAACAAGUUCCACAAAGUGUGGGCUCCAUUCCUAACAAACUUGAACAGUCUUAACUUUCUGGUGUCAAAAUACUUUCUCCUUUCCCAGCUUAAAAUGCAGAGACAACAAUAAGUAAGCCAUUCAUAGGUUAAUUUUCUCAAAAACUGUAAUAUAAGAUGGGAGAAUUUAGCCACUUAACUGCAUGUUUACAAUCUUUGUAUGCAUUUAAUUUUUAUUUAGUCCAGGGGUUUUCAAAGUCUUAGACAGUGAGCCACCCCCUGACAAAAUUAAUGAGAUGGCAUUACAGGUACAAUAACCUGUUUUCCCUUAUCUUACUUUGUGAUUAAGGGUGCUUUCACACUGGCAGUUUAGUUCAAAACAGAGCACAGUUCGCAUGAAAAAUUGGUAAUGUGAAAGCUGUCAUGUGGGGAGCGCACCACGGUACCGAACCCGAGACUACCUGUAGGAGGUGGUCUGAGUUCGGUUGCAAUGGAACUGUAGGGUGAUUUGCGUGAAUGUGAAAGCAACUCAGACUCGGGUGCGCACUCGUUCAGGAAGUAACCUGCGCAUGCGUUUUAGCCGAUGAUGACCUAUGGUCAUGAACUCUGGGUAAUGACUGAAAGAAUAAGAUUAUGGAUACAAGCGGCUGAAAUGAGUUUUCUCCACAGGGUGGCGGGACUCAAUCUCCAUGACAGGGUGAGGAGUUUGGCCAUCCGGGAGGAACUCAGAGUAGAGUCGCUACUCCUCCACAUUGAGAGGAGCCAGUUGAGGUGGUUCAGGCAUCUGGUAAGGAUGCCCCCUGUGCGCCUCCCGUUGGAGGUGUUCCAGGCACAGCAAACUGGAACGAGACCCUGAGGUCAGCCCAGUUGUCCUGGGAGUGGCUGGGGAUCCCCUGGGGUGAG